rnacentral:rRNA from 1 species
AUUGAACGCUGGCGGCAGGCCUAACACAUGCAAGUCGAACGAGCGGCGGACGGGUGAGUAAUGUCUGGGAAACUGCCCGAUGGAGGGGGAUACCUACUGGAAACGGUAGCUAAUACCGCAUACCAUCGGAUGUGCCCAGAUGGGAUUAGCUAGUAGGUGGGGUAAUGGCUCACCUAGGCGACGAUCCCUAGCUGGUCUGAGAGGAUUACCAGCCCCACUGGAACUGAGACACGGGCCAGACUCCUACGGGAGGCAGCAGUGGGGAAGAUUGCACAAUGGGCGCAAGCCUGAGGCAGCCAUGCCGCGUGUAUGAAGAAGGCCUUCGGGUUGUAAAGUACUUUCAGCGGGGAGGCGUUACCCGCAGAAGAAGCACCGGCUAACUCCGUGCCAGCAGCCGCGGUAAUAC